rnacentral:rRNA from 2 species
AGAGUUUGAUCCUGGCUCAGAGUGAACGCUGGCGGUAGGCCUAACACAUGCAAGUCGAACGGCAGCACAGUAAGAGCUUGCUCUUACGGGUGGCGAGUGGCGGACGGGUGAGGAAUACAUCGGAAUCUACCUUUUGGUGGGGGAUAACGUAGGGAAACUUACGCUAAUACCGCAUACGCCCUUCGGGGGAAAGCCGGGGACCAGCGAUGGCCUGGCGCUGAUAGAUGAGCCGAUGUCGGAUUAGCUAGUUGGUGAGGUAAUGGCUCACCAAGGCGACGAUCCGUAGCUGGUCUGAGAGGAUGAUCAGCCACACUGGAACUGAGACACGGUCCAGACUCCUACGGGAGGCAGCAGUGGGGAAUAUUGGACAAUGGGCGCAAGCCUGAUCCAGCCAUACCGCGUGGGUGAAGAAGGCCUUCGGGUUGUAAAGCCCUUUUGUUGGGAAAGAAAAGCAUUCGGUUAAUACCCGGGUGUUCUGACGGUACCCAAAGAAUAAGCACCGGCUAACUUCGUG